rnacentral:rRNA from 1 species
GACGAACGCUGGCGGCGUGCUUAACACAUGCAAGUCGAACGGAAAGGCUCUGCACUUGUACCGUCUUCGUGAGCCGAGCACGUGAGUGUCACGCGUGUGGCCUCCCCCUUUCUUCGGGGUACCUUCUUGAAACUCGGACUCUUAUCCCACAUGAACUCUUUCUACACGGGGGGUGUGUGUGAAUUUCGGCGUUUGGGGAUGGAGUUGCGGCUUAUCAGCUUGUUGGUGGGGUAGUGGCUUACCAAGGCUCUGACGGGUAGCCGGACUGAGAGGGUGACCGGCCACAUUGGGACUGGGGAACGGCCCAGACGCCUACGGGGGGCAGCAGUGGGGAAUAGUGCACAAUGGGCGGAAGGCUGAUGCAGCAACGCCGCGUGGUGGAUGACGGCCGGCGGGGAGUAAACCGCUUUCGCCUGUGACGAAGCGUGAGUGACGGUAAUGGGUAAAGAAGCACCGGCUAACUACGUG